rnacentral:sRNA from 1 species
AGAGUGGUGCCCUCCGUGUACUUUUUUGGAGGAUGAACUUGGACUGCUGCUCCAUCACCCUGUGCUUCCUAACAUGGUCCAAGACAAUUCCUGGGAAAGUUCAGUUCUUCUCAAGUGAGGGUUCUGACACAUCUGUACC